rnacentral:rRNA from 1 species
GACGAACGCUGGCGGCGUGCUUAACACAUGCAAGUCGAACGGAAAGGCCCUGCUUUUGUGGGGUGCUCGAGUGGCGAACGGGUGAGUAACACGUGAGUAACCUGCCCUUGACUUUGGGAUAACUUCAGGAAACUGGGGCUAAUACCGGAUAGGAGCUCCUGCUGCAUGGUGGGGGUUGGAAAGUUUCGGCGGUUGGGGAUGGACUCGCGGCUUAUCAGCUUGUUGGUGGGGUAGUGGCUUACCAAGGCUUUGACGGGUAGCCGGCCUGAGAGGGUGACCGGCCACAUUGGGACUGAGAUACGGCCCAGACUCCUACGGGAGGCAGCAGUGGGGAAUAUUGCACAAUGGGCGGAAGCCUGAUGCAGCAACGCCGCGUGCGGGAUGACGGCCUUCGGGUUGUAAACCGCUUUCGCCUGUGACGAAGCGUGAGUGACGGUAAUGGGUAAAGAAGCACCGGCUAACUACGUGCCAGCAGCCGCGGUGAUACGUAGGGUGCGAGCGUUGUCCGGAUUUAUUGGGCGUAAAGGGCUCGUAGGUGGUUGAUCGCGUCGGAAGUGUAAUCUUGGGGCUUAACCCUGAGCGUGCUUUCGAUACGGGUUGACUUGAGGAAGGUAGGAGAGAAUGGAAUUCCUGGUGGAGCGGUGGAAUGCGCAGAUAUCAGGAGGAACACCAGUGGCGAAGGCGGUUCUCUGGGCCUUUCCUGACGCUGAGGAGCGAAGGCGUGGGGAGCGAACAGGCUUAGAUACCCUGGUAGUCCACGCUGUAAACGGUGGGUACUAGGUGUGGGGUCCAUUCCACGGGUUCCGUGCCGUAGCUAACGCUUUAAGUACCCCGCCUGGGGAGUACGGCCGCAAGGCUAAAACUCAAAGGAAUUGACGGGGCCCCGCACAAGCGGCGGAGCAUGCGGAUUAAUUCGAUGCAACGCGUAGAACCUUACCUGGGUUUGACAUGGAUCGGGAGUGCUCAGAGAUGGGUGUGCCUCUUUUGGGGUCGGUUCACAGGUGGUGCAUGGCUGUCGUCAGCUCGUGUCGUGAGAUGUUGGGUUAAGUCCCGCAACGAGCGCAACCCUUGUUCACUGUUGCCAGCACGUUAUGGUGGGGACUCAGUGGAGACCGCCGGGGUCAACUCGGAGGAAGGUGGGGAUGACGUCAAGUCAUCAUGCCCCUUAUGUCCAGGGCUUCACGCAUGCUACAAUGGCUGGUACAGAGAGUGGCGAGCCUGUGAGGGUGAGCGAAUCUCGGAAAGCCGGUCUCAGUUCGGAUUGGGGUCUGCAACUCGACCUCAUGAAGUCGGAGUCGCUAGUAAUCGCAGAUCAGCAACGCUGCGGUGAAUACGUUCCCGGGGCU